GAUUAUGUAUUGCAGGCAUAUGCAAAAAUAAGUUUGCAUAUCCUGAGCAUAUCCGACCUCACCUUUGUUGUGAAUAAAUCACAGACUGUCCUGGAUUCCAGAAGAGUUCCAACCAGUGAAGCUGGCAUUCCAGGAGAAUCCUCUGAUUCUUUUGGCAAAACUGAGUCAAGAACAUAUUGCCAGUUCUUCCUGGGCUCAACUAAAUGUGGAUUCCAUUCACAAUCACUUUUGCUUUGCAUGUUGUGUACGCUUAUGACCAUCAUGUUUAUCAGCAGUUCCAGAGGGCAGCUGCGAGGUUGCUUCCAAAUAUUGCAAUAUGAUUCCAUAAUGUUUUGUAGAAUUUGGAAUCCAUUAUUCUCAUAUUCAAGGACAGGUUUCAGAUUUCAGCAUUGAAAGAUGUCUUCCCAGUUCUUUCAUUGCUUUCAGGGUGCUCAGCUCACAUGGCCUGAGACAGGAAUUGUGCAGCCUCCACAGCCACCUAAACUAUAGACUUUCUAGAGGACUCUACAAAAGCCUGUUUCAUGUGCAGCAUGGUGGAAGAAUACAGUUAACUUUUUCAAUACUAGAACCAUAAAAAUCACUGAAACUAUAUUACCUUUUUGUUUAUCCUAAAAGAGACAAAUAUUCACCCUAUCUAGAAACACAGAACAUCUUCAAAUGCACCUCUGCGUUGUUGAAAAAGGCAUGUUUUGGGGAACUUUAAAGGUGUUGAAUAAUGAAGAAUUCUUUUAUUUAUUCCUUUGAUAAUUCUACUAAAAGUGCAUUUUUUAACAAGAAGACAGUUUCUUUGUUCUUUGUUCAUUAACAUUGCUGUAUUCAACAUAACUUUGAAUCAAAUUAUCCCUUUCACAAAACUGCUCACGUUGUUUCCUGUUCCUUGGCACGAUGAAGCCAUGCAUAUGUAUGACGCGUCACCAAGUGUCAUUUUAGGAAAGACCCUGUUAGUGUGCCUAUGGAGAGAAGCAGAGUUAGAGUAUUGUAGCCAUGGAAGCCACUUUACUUUGCAGCCUUUAGCUUCCUGGAGGGAAUCUGGUGAUGGGAAAGGAAUUCCAUUUUGCAUACUACAUUGUUAGCGUGCAAAUGCUCCACUUAUUUAUAUCAUUCAAUUCAAUCUGGACAUCUUACUUUAAAAAUGUAUAUCUCAGUCCCUCUUUGAAGAAAAAUAUGAUGAAAAUAUAUGAAUUAGAGCUCACAAUUUUACAUUAUUUGUAGAUCAUAAUAACGAUCUUGGCAUUUGUAUUUACCUUACAUAGAGAUGGGAAAACAUUUUGGAAGGUUUUUUGGAGCAAUAGGAGAGGGGAAUGAAAUAUCCCAUUAAAACAGGAAGGACAUUGCUGUCACCUAAUCAGACAGCCUCAGGACUACCAGCAGAUGGUGCAACAACCUAUUUAAUCCUCAGCAUUAUCAGAAAAUAACCAAGAAUGGCAUCUUUCUUUGCUAAUUAAUUCUGAAUACUCCUAAAAAAUUAUGACUUUAAUGAUAAUAGCAUUUAAAACGAUAACCAUAGAAUCUGUAAUAAUUUUUUAAUAAUUAUACAUAAUAUCUGACUUUUUGAACUAAAAGAGACUUUAGAACUCUCUGGUCCAAGCCUUCUGUUUAACAGCUGAGGAAACUCAAGUUCUUAAGUUUAAACUUCAACCACCAGCUAAGGAGGGUCGUGAUGAGUCUUGGUCAUAUGACAGAACCCAUCGCUCAUUGAUUCAGCAACAUUAUCCCUCAGCAAAUACGAUUUCUAGCCCAAUAAUCAAAAUUUGAUGGGGUGGCGGAUGGCAUUUGAUCAUCCAAGUUAAGAUUUUUCAGCAGAUGUUUAUCUGUGGAGACUCUUCUAUUGUAAGAACAUUCAUAGUUUUAGAAAAGAGGCAUUUUCUGGGAGAACAUGCUCUCCUGUCCUCUCUGUUUCCAGCUGCAAACUAACGUGUCAUUUUGCCAAAUGCUUCCUGUCUAGCUUCUGGCUAUUUCUGAGAGAGAGAGAGAAGGUGGGGGCAGGGGGAGAAAGAGAGAGAGAGAGAGAGAUUUUUUUUUACACAUUUGCUUUGUACUAGGAAAAUAUUUCUUAUACAGUCAACAAUAGCAUAUUAAUGGGGAUGAUUUAAGGAGCCCAAGCUUCUAUUCUGUUGCCAGAAUGCCAACGGGAAUGUAUGCUACUUUUCAAAAAAUAGGUGUUGACAAUAGCCUGCAGUAUUGCACUGUAGUCAAAGAAGAGUGCUGAAAGCUUCAGUUCAUAAAAAUGCUUGAUUCAUCAAAAAUAAUCACCUCACCUGAUAAUUGAAAGCUACAGAGAAUUAUUAUGCAGCCGUGGACUCUCAAAAAUUUAUUCAUUUUUGGUAAUUAACAUUAUUUCUUCUUGAUGAUGUUGCUAAAUGGCUUGAACCCAGUCUGAAGAACCAUGCAUGAUCAUUUAUGCUGAAAAGAAAAGAAAUUAGAAGCUUUUGUUGCACAGAAUGGUGGAUAAAGAUUGCGAAUUUGCACAGCUAUAAAGCUUACUAAUUAAAGACUACAAACACAAAGAGAGCAAGCCUUGUGAUGACUGCACAAUAACGAGGAUUCAGAUACAACGUGGUCGCCACCUGACGCCCACCUCCACAAAAAGCCAUUCUCAAAAGGAGAGAGACAUUCAUAUCCAGAAGAGGGAGUCGGCUGUAGGGUAGAGGUAUGAAAUUCUCAGUCAGUUUUUACUUUGUUGGUUCCAGUAUGAUUUUCAUUAUCCUUACUUUUGUGUUUUUUAUGGCAAUGUAAACAUACAAACUAGUGGGAAACAAUGCGGUCUUUUAUUAAUUUGCAGUAACCCACAUUGUAAGCAAUGCAAUGAUUCAGACCUUAGUUAUCAAGAGGUUUUAUUAUAGAACCACUAGUAACUCAUAGACUCUUCCUGUUAUGUGAAAUAAAUGAAGACCAGCCAACUAAGAAAGGCAAAGGCUAUGUAUUCUGAGCUCAUCUGGAUCAGAGGAGUCAGCACUGUCAUUUGUGUUUGGCAGAGACUGAAAGGCAGAUGUUCGUCUGAAGAUUUCAAAGCCCACUGCUGAUUUAAGGUCAUUCACAUUCAGCCAUGAAGCUGCUCUGAAGACACAGGAACUGCAUAGCUCCCUACUGGGAAUGUCAAGGGCUGUGAAAGGUCUAAGGUUUUAUCCUACUUGCAACCAACAAGCUAUGCAGCCACAGUUUUAUGGAUGCUGUCAAAAGACAUGACACUCCUGGCAUGCAGUUUAGGCUGCUAACAACAGCAUGAGGGCAACCUGCUGUGGUGACCUAAGCUAUGACACCCCACCCCAAGUCCGGGAUGCAGCUAACUGAGCAAACUGCAUGAACUGGGAGGCGGCCGACCAUUGUUCACGCCUCUCCUUCGCGUAUGUGUUUUCUACUGUUCUUGCACUGUAAAGGCAGAGGUUGCAUCGGGCCCUUAUGCAAAGCCCCAAAUAAUUACUGGCUGACUCUUCUCAGGGAACAUUUGCUAACCCUGUCACAAGCCAUAAGGUUCCACCACAGAUUGCCCUGUGGCUCUCUCGUUACGUUUCUGUGUGGACGUUUCCACAUGGUCUGAGGCAUUCAUCCAAGAAGAGCAGGAUGUAUUAGUGACUGCACAGAUUCUGCCUUGGCCCACAAAGAGGACAUCCAGGGCAGUCCUGGUCAUCUGUAAUAACAUUGCCCAGUGAGUUGAGGCUGACCUGAGUACUGACUUGGGUUGAGUUGGUGUCACUGAUCACUUCAGCCAAAGAUGGGACAUUUCUUAGCACCUGUUCUGAUUGGCUGACUUCUAUGGUCAGGAUAACGGCUCUCAGGAUGCGUAUAACUGCCAAGUCUCUCCGGGAAGCUUCCCUGGGUUACCAAGGAAUCCUCAUGUCUGAGAGAGCUCCACCAUCAUCCAAGGGCCACACGGAGUUUCUUGCAAUGCUUCAAGGUCUCCUGUAAUAACUCCUAUGAUAGAAGUCACUGUGUUUUGGGGAGGUAGACUGCAGCAUGCAGUUUUGACAGCAUGACCAAGGUCAUUGUUCAGGUCUGAUUAUUCAAAUUCAAAAAACUGCAACCUCAGGCAUAAAAGAUUAAGGAUGGAGCCCAAGUCUCUGGGUCCCCAAGGGGGACUGAAGCACAUACUCACCCAUCUGAAUAUGCUGGAGAACAGGAAGGAGAGACUCAAGCUUGUCUGGGUCUGUUGGAUACAGACUCUCCCAUCUCCACCCCAUCAGGUCCUAUGGAGGCCCAAGUUCAGCUGAUGAAGUUAAGGGAGUGCUCAGUGCAGAAGGGUGGGAGGGCACUUGGGGCAUUUUGGGGUCCUGUUUUUGUUGCUUCUGCAUCUGAUACAGCAGGAAUUGAAGUAUUGCACACUUGUCCUUCCCAUUUCCAAGUGCUGCCUUCCCAUCAGUAAGAGCCACAGUUAGAGAGGGACCAACAGGAGGAUAACUCCCACAUGCUUAGCAUUCCAAUAAUGGAACACUAGGCAUAAAUUGAUAAGAUGCUUUCAAUGCAAUCAGUACUCUGCCAGGAUUCACUAAGUAGAGAAUGACUAAAUAUUUACCCAUCUCCUAACAAAAAUGCACAACUGAGGACAGAUGUUUUGCACUUUUAUGUGUCUACGGACUGUGUAAGAGGAUUUGGCUGGGUCAUCAUCUUCUUCUUCUUCUUAGACUGGUUGAUGGUGACCGUUCAUUGAUCCAAUAUGGUAAAGUCAUGUCCUGGUCUGUGUUCUUCGGGGUCCACAACCCUCUUUAACAGCCUGUUGUAAGGUUCUCGACCACGUCACUGUCUAGCUAAACCAUUCUGCAUUUCAGUAGGUAAACCAGCAGGAGGGCUUAAAAACCACAUUGCCCUGUCCACAUCCCUAUUUCUGAUUCUUUUCUGGCCUGCGAUCCUACAUCUCUAUCCUCACUUUAAACUGUUUUCCUCUUUUCUUCUCCUUUUUCCUGACCUCCUUUAUGUUUUUCAUUUCUCCUCCAUCUGAAUAUACCAAACCAUCCUUUUGCUUCCUCUUUUCUCUUCAUUAAUUAUUCUAGGGGCUAUUUUUUUUAUUAGGAAGAUGUAUUAUUUUAACAUGCUUUAUAAAGUUAGUGGCAUUAAGGAAUUAAUGUCCUUGGAAACUCAUACAUGUUCAGCUUCUAGAAACCCCUGAUUCCAAGGAGCAAAAACAUGCCAUCUCUGACAGUGUCCACAAGAACAAUACCAGAUCAGACGAUAAAGCCAACACACAGCAUAGCCAAUGGCCACACAUCCAGAAAACACUCUCAACAAAUUUAACCCUUCAGUAUUCACUGUAGCCAAUAUAUAUUCAAUAUAUAUAGCUGACUUUGUUUUUAUAUUUGAUGAAGUCCUGCUAUUUGAAAUAAAAUAAUCAAACCAACAACAACAACAACAAAAACCCCAUACAUGGUGAUAGCAUAUGUGAGGCAGUAGCAAUUUCUCCAUCUUUUCUGUCCUGUCUUUCCUGUUCUUCGUUCCCAUGCUAAGAAGGGAUGGAUAUAUCUCGGAGAUUACACAGGUUCUAGUCAAAGACUUCAUUGUGAACGUUUGUUUCACAUUUUCCCUGGAUAAGGACUAAUUAAAAGUUUGGAAAAGUAUACCUUUUUUUUUUUUUUUUUUUGCAAACUUACCCAUAUUAUGUGCUUUUUCUUGAUACAGCUGCUAAUCUUUGCUGUAUAUGUAGUGUUAGGAAGUCUACUUUAAUACACACACACACGUUUAAUGAGGUAAAAUAUGCAUAACAUAAUUACCAUUUUAACAAUUUUUAAGUGUAGAGUUCAGGGGCAAGUACGUUCAUGUUCUUGUGCAACUAUCACCACCAUUUUUUCUCCAGAACCCUUUUUAUCAUCUCAAACUGAAACUCUGCACCCACUGAACAAUAACUCCCCGUUCUCUCCUCCUCCUAGACCCUGGUAACCCCUCAUCUAUUUUCUGUCUCUGUGUAUUUGACUAUUCUAGGUACCACAUUAACGUGGACUUACACAGUAUUCGUCCUUUUGUGACUGGCUUAGUUUAUUUAGCAUAAGAUCCCCAAGGUUCAGCCGGGUGCCGUGGCUCAUGCCUGAAAUCCAAGCACUUUGGGAGGCCAAGGUGGGUGGAUCACCUGAGGUCAGGAGAUUGAGACCAGCCUGGCCAACACGGUGAAACCUCAUCUCUACUAAAAUACAAAAAUUAGCUGGGCCUGGUGGCGGGCGCCUGUAAUCCUAGCUACUAGGUAGGCUGAGGCAGGAGAUUAGCUUGAACCUGGGAGGCGGAGGUUGCAGUGAGCAGAGAUGGGACCACUCCACUCCAGCUUGGGCAACAGAGCAAGACCCUGUCUCAAAAAAAAAAAAUUCAAGGUUCAUCCAUGCUGUGGCAUGUGUCAUAAUUUCAUUUCUUCAUAUUCCUGAAAUACAUUUCUAAAUAUAAAUUUUUCAUUACUGUUUUCAUUUCAAGUUAAGUUUAUCAGAUCCUGUAGUCCAGGGACUUCAGUCUCUUUGAAUUAUGUCUUUCUUGGACAAUUUGGGAGCUCUUUUGAGAAACUGAAUACAAUUUGAAUACACUAAAAUCUGAAUCACACCAUAGAUAACGACAUAGUGUCUUAGUGAGAAGAAAUUUGAUUCUGCUGACUAGGAUACUAAAGUUUGACCUUUAUGGUCAUCUCUUAAUAAAAUAAAAGGAGAGCACUGGGCUAUUAAAUAGUUUAUUCAUGGAUCAUAGGGUGAAUAAGACCUAGAUCCUAGAGGAAAUCCUCCCCACAAAGACACUCAGACUUUUAUUCCUGUCAAUGUUCUUGUGGAUUUCAGGGAGCAAUGAUGGCUAUAAAUCUGCAACUCAUAGCAUUUCAGGCUAAACACAUUCAGCCUUUAUUACCAUUGUUCAUUUGACCUCUUUAUCCAAUUUUUUUCCCACCCACUUGCCAAUAUCACCUUGUUCUUAUGUAGGCUGUGUUUCAGCCAGCUUAAGCCUUACUAACAAAUGAGGUGAAAUCCAUCUGAGGAGGAAGCCGGGGCAUGGUGGAUUGAAAUAGCUUGCCUCAGGAGCAGAAAAUUUGGUGUGGAUCAAGAAAUAGAACUCCAAAGUAUACCUUUCCAGUCAUUGGCUUUAGCUGGAGCCAGCAUCCUUCAAUGAAUCAGUCAACAUUUACCUAUCUGUUCCCCACAGCAGUUUUGCAAAUCGCUUUCAGAAAUCAUUGAACCACUAACAGUUUAUCCACUCUGCAAAAUAUACACAGCUCUUCCCAUAUCCAGGAGGGUUAUCCCUUCUCAGCUGCGUUCAACACUUUUUACAACCCCUGAUUUCAAUAAGCAGAAUACAUCCACCUGCUUAGGGAAAUUACUCUUACCAUAUAAUUGCCUCUUAUGUUGAAAUGUCCAUGAGACCCUCUCAUGAAAUAGGGGACAAGAUAAAGCACAGAUUUUCCCCCAACUCAAACAUGCCUGUCUCAUACAUGUCAUGCCCUUGGAAAUGGCCAACACUGCUCUCUGCCUCCUGUUUAGGGUUAAGGCUUUCACUAUCUCUUGCCACCUCUGAUGAAAUUACUAACAAAUAUAUUAUCCUUACCCUUUGUCUUCUAUUCCAGCACUUCAAAUGCAUCAAAGGUCCAGAGAGAAGCUUCUUCUGGUCACCUUGAUCUUGUGAUGCAAGGCAGGUGGGAGCAAGGGCUCCACCUCUGCAGACACAGAGAUGACGGGGUCGCCAUGCCGGCGUUUUAGUCCCGGUUUCCUCUGCUCGAGUAGUUGGUGGCCUCCUGCCUGUUCCCUAACAUAACUUCACUUUCCUUACCUGCAAAACGAAAUUAGUAUUUCCUCCCUCACAAGGUGCUUGAUGCCCUUCCCCUUGCGUUUACUUUGCCUGAGAGACUAUAUCAUAUCUAUGAUUUUGUGAAUGGGGCAAAAGGAAUUGAGAGUGUCAGGGUAUACCUUAUAAAUAAGCCACUAAAGGUUACAUCCUCAUUCCACAAACUGACCUAAACAAUUUGGCUGUCACUAAUAGAUUAUUUUGGUCAGUUAUGGCAUUUAGAGGGAGAAGAGAGAGUAUAUAUAUAUGGGUGGGGUGUGUGUGUAUGCGUGUGUAUGUGUGUGUUUACAGUCAAAAUACCAAAAUAUAUCUAUGUAUAUAAAUAUAUUUGCUUUCUUUGUUUUUGUUACAAUAAACUUGUACAUACAAUUCUGACACACAUAUUUUCAUAUGUAGGCACAAAAAUAGUCAUACAAAAAAUACCACAAAAGGUAAUAACAAAGUGGAAGAAGACAUAGGAACAGAGAACAAACCAACACAUAGAAAAAGUAACAAACAUGGUAGAUACGAAUCCAGCUAUAUCAAUAAUCGCGUUAAACAUCAAUGGUCUUAAAUAUACUAGACAGUGGAAUAUUAUUCAGCAUUGAAAAGAAAUGACCUAUCAAGCCAUGAAAGACAAGGAGGAACCUUAAAUGCAUGUUACUGAGUGAAAGAAGCCAAUCUGAAAAGGCUGCAUCCUGCAGGAUUCUGACUCUAUGACAUUCUGGAAAAGGUAAAACUACUAAGACAGUGAAAAGAUCAGUAGCUGCCAGGGGUUACGGGAAGGGGAUGAUGAAUAAGUGGGGCACAGCAUUUUGAGGAGGUGAAACUACUCUGUAGGAUACUGUAACAGUAAAUCCAUGUCAUUAUAUGUUUGUACACACCCAUAGAACACCAGGAGGACAGCACCAAGAGGGAGCCCUAGUGUGAACUGUGGACUCUGGUUGGUAAUGAUGUGCCUGUGAAGCUUCAUUGUUUGCAGCAAAUGCAUCAGUGUGGUGGGGGAUGUUUCUAAAUUGAUAAUGAAGGACGCCAUAGGUGUAUGGGGGCAGAGAGUUUAUGAGAAAUCUGUACCUUUUGCUCAAUUUUACUGAACAUAAAACUGCUGAAGCCAUCAUUCUCAGCAAACUAACCCAGGAGCAGAAAACCAAACGCCGCAUGUUCUCACUCAUAAGUGGGAGUUGAACAAUGAGAACACAUGGACACAGGGAGGGGAACAUCGUCACACACCGGAGCCUGUCGCAGGGUGGGGAGCUGGGGGAGGGAGAGCAUUAAGACAAAUACCUAAUGCAUGUGGGGCUUAAAACCUAGAUGAUAGGUUGAUAGGUGCAGCAAACCACCAUGGCACAUGUAUACCUAUGUAACAAACCUGCACAUUCUGCACAUGUAUCCCAGAACUUAAAGUAAAAUAUAUUAAAAAAAUUAAAGUCUAUUUUAAAAAAAGAAAAACAAUCAGCUAACCUACUUUGGUAGCUCUGUUCUGCGCUGUCGGGUCUUCCAUCCUAGCGUGUGACACAGGAGGGUUUCGCUGGCAGGACCCGCCCACUGCACAUGCAGGUUCAGGUGACAGAGACCUCUGGAAAGAUGAGGCCCGUGGGAGCAGGGGGCUUCUUGUUGACACUGAAGGUCAGGCUUCAGGAAUGCCAGGGGCUCAUAAAAUCUUUUUCACUGAACAUUAUGCUGAGCAGGAUUCAUUUUACCAGUGAAAAAAUAUUUCUGACAUCCUUUGUGCUUUUUAACAAAGCCUGUGGUGUGGAUUUGCAUGAUUCUUAGAUUGCUGAGUAACCACUUCGGGAGGGUUCUUGAUUAGGGCACUAAAAAUGUUAACACAACACCCGUGGGAUGUAGAUUAAGGUCAACUUGUCCUUGUGCGUCUCUCCUAGUGUUGAUGGCAGAGUCUUAGUAUUUCAGCUGACGAAAUCUCUGCCCAUUCUCUUCCAAUGUUCCCUAAUAAGCUACAGGAGGACAGAGACAAAAGUUUGACUUCAUUAGUAACUUUUGGAAGUUGCCCAAUUUAGGAAAAAGAGUUAAUAAAUCAGGAAUUUUAUAAGAACUUUUUGUUAAAUCUGUAGUUAUUCAAAUCAGCCUCAGCAUGAUAAGACAACACUACAGGUUAUUAUAAAUAGUUGAAAAAGAAAAAUUAAAUUCCAACCAAACAAUUGAUCCUUAACUUUUUUUUUUUUUGAGA
rnacentral:lncRNA from 1 species